UGUGUGUUGUCAGAAACCAGAAACAACAUUCUGAAUCUCAAUGAACGCGAGGCCCUUCCAUUGCACCAAGAAUUCCGCAGACAAGUAGGCUAAAUUAUCGGCAGACAAGUGCAGUUACAGUUGACAGAGUGGAGAGACGCGUUCCCUUUAAGACCGGUGUACAGCGCUCUCUCCUCGCUCGACCAAGGAGAACCUCUCCUUGUUCCAAAUAAGGAUAUGCUAGCCCAGCCUUAAAGGGGCGGGGGACGCCAGCGAUACAAACUUGAGGAGGCAGUUUUCUAUUUGGAAGGCAGCGCACCGUCCGGAGGUAACCAGAAUCCAACGGCACCGAGGCGCGAUCAACCCGAGCUUGGAUGAAACGUUAAGGGGAAGGACGCAAACCGGCAGCCAAAGAGAAGCACUGACACUAUUUGGACUCGGGAGAGAGCGAGGUAGCGAGAUCGCAGUCAACGGGGUCGCGUUGGAUAAGCUUAUUCUGUCAGUUGAACAGAUGUUGGGUUAUUUGAGUAGCACGCAGACUGGCCAUGUGAAUAGUAGCCUAUUGCAAAAUUAACCUGGACAGACAACAGAAAGAAGGCGUUGGUAGUGGCGUUCGUGUGUUUAUACACACCGAUAAUAGAGAAGUUCUCAACAUCCGAACAUCUGGAUUUAUGAAGCGAAUACACCUGUCCUGUGUAGGAGCGUGAACGCCGUUUACAUGAAACCCGUUCAGGUGAAAUGGUGAAGGAUCUCAGGAUACAUUUGGAAUCAUCUUUGGACACCCUUGAAAAGGAAACGCUUUUACUCAUUAAUAUAUGCCACUGAUUUAUAUCCAGAAUUCUGAUUCAAUUGUCUAAAACAGGACUACAUUUAACAAAUAGAAUAGGCUAUAAAUGGUAUCAUUAUUAUUAGUAGGACUGGACUUUGCAAGACAAGGAAUUUACUCAAUCGACUGUCUCGCUCGGUGACUCACUGUGAGAAAUAGACUCGGCAGCUGGAACCAAUACCCAACUCUACAAAGUGACACAUUUGGAUACUUGCCGGUGCUCUACAGUAGCCUACGUGCAUGUGUGUGUCUUUACCGAGUGGGGAUACACCGACCCGGACUACGGUAACGCGAGCUGUCCAAGAGCGGGCGGCCGUCCCCGCGCGCGCGCCUUCAUAAUAAAUGCCCAUCAGCCGGUCGUGCGAGGCUCUCGAGGCUGGGAGGCAAGAUGAAUUCGUGGGUCCUGCUGCUGGCGGCGCUCGCCGCGGGGUGUCUGCGGUUUGGAAGCGCUGAGGGAGACCCUCUCCCACUAUCGUUAGUAGAGCUGGUGAGAACCAGUCCCAUCUCUUCUAUAGAGGACCUGCAACAGCUGCUGGAGCAAGAGACUGACUCCCAGGAGGUGGAGCCAGAUGAACCAUCGGCCA